rnacentral:rRNA from 1 species
UGGUCUGUCACUGACGNUGAGGCUCGAAAGCGUGGGUAGCGAACAGGAUUAGAUACCCUGGUAGUCCACGCCGUAAACGAUGAGUGCUAGGUGUUAGGCCCUUUCCGGGGCUUAGUGCCGGAGCUAACGCAAUAAGCACUCCGCCUGGGGAGUACGACCGCAAGGUUGAAACUCAAAGGAAUUGACGGGGGCCCGCACAAGCGGUGGAGCAUGUGGUUUAAUUCGAAGCAACGCGAAGAACCUUACCAGGUCUUGACAUCCCGAUGCUAUUCUUAGAGAUAGGAAGUUACUUCGGUACAUCGGAGACAGGUGGUGCAUGGUUGUCGUCAGCUCGUGUCGUGAGAUGUUGGGUUAAGUCCCGCAACGAGCGCAACCCUUAUUGUUAGUUGCCAUCAUUAAGUUGGGCACUCUAGCGAGACUGCCGGUAAUAAACCGGAGGAAGGUGGGGAUGACGUCAAAUCAUCAUGCCCCUUAUGACCUGGGCUACACACGUGCUACAAUGGUCGGUACAACGAGUUGCGAGCCGGUGACGGCAAGCUAAUCUCUGAAAGCCGAUCUCAGUUCGGAUUGGAGGCUGCAACUCGCCUCCAUGAAGUCGGAAUCGCUAGUAAUCGCGGAUCAGCACGCCGCGGUGAAUACGUUCCCGGGCCUUGUACACACCGCCCGUCACACCACGAGAGUUUGUAACACCCGAAGUCGNUGAGGUA